rnacentral:miRNA from 1 species
UUCCUGCAGAUUGUUUCUUUUGCCGUGUAAGUUUAAGUUUUUGCACGGCAAAAGAAACAAUCCAGAGGGU